rnacentral:rRNA from 1 species
CCUACGGGAGGCAGCAGUGGGGAAUAUUGGACAAUGGGCGAAAGCCUGAUCCAGCCAUGCCGCGUGUGUGAAGAAGGCCUUCGGGUUGUAAAGCACUUUCAGUGGGGAAGAAAGCCUUGGGGCUAAUACCCUCGAGGAAGGACAUCACCCACAGAAGAAGCACCGGCUAACUCCGUGCCAGCAGCCGCGGUAAUACGGAGGGUGCGAGCGUUAAUCGGAAUUACUGGGCGUAAAGCGCGCGUAGGCGGUCUGAUAAGCCGGUUGUGAAAGCCCCGGGCUCAACCUGGGAACGGCAUCCGGAACUGUCAGGCUAGAGUGCAGGAGAGGAAGGUAGAAUUCCCGGUGUAGCGGUGAAAUGCGUAGAGAUCGGGAGGAAUACCAGUGGCGAAGGCGGCCUUCUGGACUGACACUGACGCUGAGGUGCGAAAGCGUGGGUAGCAAACAGGAUUAGAUACCUGUGUAGUC